rnacentral:rRNA from 1 species
CAACGUUAAUCGACGCAGGGUUAGUCGGUUCCUAAGGCGAGGCUGAAAAGCGUAGUCGAUGGGAAACAGGUUAAUAUUCCUGUACUUCUGGUUACUGCGAUGGAGGGACGGAGAAGGCUAGGCCAGCUUGGCGUUGGUUGUCCAAGUUUAAGGUGGUAGGCUGAAAUCUUAGGUAAAUCCGGGGUUUCAAGGCCGAGAGCUGAUGACGAGUCGUCUUUUAGAUGACGAAGUGGUUGAUGCCAUGCUUCCAAGAAAAGCUUCUAAGCUUCAGGUAACCAGGAACCGUACCCCAAACCGACACAGGUGGUCGGGUAGAGAAUACCAAGGCGCUUGAGAGAACUCGGGUGAAGGAACUAGGCAAAAUGGCACCGUAACUUCGGGAGAAGGUGCGCCGGCUAGGGUGAAGGAUUUACUCCGUAAGCUCUGGCUGGUCGAAGAUACCAGGCCGCUGCGACUGUUUAUUAAAAACACAGCACUCUGCAAACACGAAAGUGGACGUAUAGGGUGUGACGCCUGCCCGGUGCCGGAAGGUUAAUUGAUGGGGUUAGCGCAAGCGAAGCUCUUGAUCGAAGCCCCGGUAAACGGCGGCCGUAACUAUAACGGUCCUAAGGUAGCGAAAUUCCUUGUCGGGUAAGUUCCGACCUGCACGAAUGGCGUAACGAUGGCGGCGCUGUCUCCACCCGAGACUCAGUGAAAUUGAAAUCGCUGUGAAGAUGCAGUGUAUCCGCGGCUAGACGGAAAGACCCCGUGAACCUUUACUGUAGCUUUGCACUGGACUUUGAGCCUGCUUGUGUAGGAUAGGUGGGAGGCUUUGAAGCGUGGACGCCAGUUCGCGUGGAGCCAUCCUUGAAAUACCACCCUGGCAUGCUUGAGGUUCUAACUCUGGUCCGUGAUCCGGAUCGAGGACAGUGUAUGGUGGGCAGUUUGACUGGGGCGGUCUCCUCCUAAAGAGUAACGGAGGAGUACGAAGGUGCGCUCAGACCGGUCGGAAAUCGGUCGCAGAGUAUAAAGGCAAAAGCGCGCUUGACUGCGAGACAGACACGUCGAGCAGGUACGAAAGUAGGUCUUAGUGAUCCGGUGGUUCUGUAUGGAAGGGCCAUCGCUCAACGGAUAAAAGGUACUCCGGGGAUAACAGGCUGAUACCGCCCAAGAGUUCAUAUCGACGGCGGUGUUUGGCACCUCGAUGUCGGCUCAUCACAUCCUGGGGCUGAAGCCGGUCCCAAGGGUAUGGCUGUUCGCCAUUUAAAGUGGUACGCGAGCUGGGUUUAGAACGUCGUGAGACAGUUCGGUCCCUAUCUGCCGUGGACGUUUGAGAUUUGAGAGGGGCUGCUCCUAGUACGAGAGGACCGGAGUGGACGAACCUCUGGUGUUCCGGUUGUCACGCCAGUGGCAUUGCCGGGUAGCUAUGUUCGGAAAAGAUAACCGCUGAAAGCAUCUAAGCGGGAAACUUGCCUCAAGAUGAGAUCUCACUGGGAACUUGAUUCCCCUGAAGGGCCGUCGAAGACUACGACGUUGAUAGGCUGGGUGUGUAAGCGUUGUGAGGCGUUGAGCUAACCAGUACUAAUUGCCCGUGAGGCUUGACCAUAUAACACCCAAACA